UUCUGCUUUUCUUCUGCCUCCCCACCGCAGCAGCUCCUGACUUGCUCGCGAGGGCUGCUGCCACGUCCUGGUGGAUUUUCUUUGGGGGUGUUCUCUGACUGCACGGUUUGGUCUGCCGGGUCCUGCCAAGAGCCUAUGCUUGGGGAAUGCUGGAGCUGCUCCAGUUUCCCUGGAGCCUGCAUCUUCAGCUGCUUCCUCGUGACAUCCUCCUCCCUUCUGGCAUCCCUUUUGCGUACCGCUCGCCUGCCCUGGGUGGCUGUGAGUCUCCAUUGGCAUGGGGCUCCAUGAAGGAGUUUCUUUUCCCCUCCCAGCACCUCCUUCCUUGCUCCCACCUCCUGCUUCAGCAAGUCCCAUGCAGUGGCCCUGCAGUCUUCUUCUAGGGCAAAUCCUGAGCCAGGCUGGGACCAGCCCUUUCCCCUGCUAGGGCCAGGAGAAACGUGUGUCAGAAGGGGGUGAGCAGGCGGCCUGGUUAGCACCGAGCCAGGGCGAUGUGUCACCUGCGUAAGCAGACCCUGGGACUCGGUGACCCAGAAAGCUGCUUCCCCUCCCUCCUUUCUAAAACAAGCCCAGCUGGUGUUUGCAGGAGCAACUCCUUUGAAGGGAGGCAGCAGAGCAGCUCCACAGUGGGUUCUUUGGGCUCUGUUCUGCUGGGUUCUCCAGCUCAAGCUUUUCUUGUGGCCAGCAUCUGCAAAACACAUCCCUCUCCCUGUGGUUCCUCUGGCAUCUGGGAACCCAUGAGCUCACCCUGCCCUUUCCCUUCCAGUGAAGUUAGGAGGCUGCCCUCCAUCCUCAUUCCUCUAUCGGUGCUUCAACCCCCUUCAUUAUACGGGGCAGGAUGGGGCUCGUGGGUUGGGGAGUGCUGAGCGCAGGGAGAGGGGAAGCGCAGCCACCGAAUGGCCAUGGCCAGAACUGGAAACUGGUUAUGGCCACAUCAGAGGACUGCCCAGGGUGCUUGUGUGGGCUGGAGAGAUGAUUCUUAACACACAGAGUUCAGUCAGCUCGAUAUCGACCCAGAAGGGAAGCUUUAUGAACCCAUUUUCACUUUCCCCCCAGACUGCUGGGUCUCGGUGGCAUUUGGCCUGGUGCUGUGAUGUGAUGUCCAGCAUGUCACAGCCCCAGCCCUGCCACAGGCAUCAGGAAUUCCUAGGAGGUACCUGGAACACAGACAGGCUCUCAUGGUGUCCAUAGAAGGGAGAUGCCUGGCCCAUGGCGCUGCUUCCGCGCUCAGAUCUGCCUAACACCAGUGUCUGCGAGCUUUCUGCGGCAGUGAACAGGGCUCCACACCCAGAGGGUCUCCGGGCUCCCCCAGCCGCCUACGGAUGGCCAAUCCCCUAUCUAUGAACUUGCCCAAGGGUGUCUUUUCUUCCCAGCUGAUGGGGUGGAGAGGAAGGGGUGUGGAUGCUGUGUUUGUGCCACACCAGCUGGAGCAGGCUGCAGCCCGCAGAGCUAACCACAGUUAUUUUAGCAAGCUGAUGUUUAUGUUUACCUCCGUGCCACAGCAAGCCAUCGCUCCUGGGUUUAGCAGCAAUGCUCUCCAUCGCUCGCAGUUUUAGCAACCACUGCUGCUCCAGGCCAGGCUAAUUCCAACCUUCUUGGGUUUGGGGCCAUUUGUUCUCACCCAACAGCAGCAAACAAGUAGUUACGGAGAGAGGCAUCAAAAUAGCUACUGUGACAGGAGUUCUGCUGCUCAGAUGGGCUUUGGGCUACAGGAAAGGGGUCCUUGGCCCCGUGGAUGCUGCAUGCACUGAGGCUGGGAUGGGAUCCAGAAAGACCAGGCUUGCCAGGCUCUGGCUCAAACCUUGUCCUCUAGCUCUUGGACUUUGCAACUGAAUAGGCAAAAAGAACCCACAAGAAAGAGUGAAUUUAUCUGUUUUUCUGGGGCAAAACUGGAGCCAUGGGUUGCAAAUGUCCCUGCCCUGGCCUUUGUGUCCGGAACGGGCACCUGCAGCUGGGGCUGCAGCCCUUCUCCUGUGCCGUCUGCCCAGCUCUUGAGCUUGAGGCUUUGCAAUAACUCAGUUAUUUGAUAAACCAGAGGAGCCUGAUCAGGGAAGAAAUCAUCCCUUUCCAUAUUCAUGAUUUUCAUGAAACAUGACAGGACCAGGCCAGAAAAACUGGAGCAAAACCACACUGUUUCCCCUCCCUGCUCCCCUUUACGCCCAUCCCAAUGGGGUUUGGUCUCAUGCAUCAGGCUCUGAUCUUGGCAGAGACCUCCCAAGCUCCUGAGAUCAGUUCACUCCCAUCCCUGAGUGAAGUUCAAAGCUUUCCCUUCGUUCCUGCCUGCAGCCACAGGGUAUUUAAUGUGCGGCUGGCAUUCCCUGCACGCUGGCGCCCUGGAUGUGAACUGCUGCUUUUCAGUUCUGUCUGAAAAGGAGCCGUCUCGGGGCCUCGCCUCUUAAUUGCGGAGGAGGUGAACAUGAAAAAGCUUCCAGCUGAUCUAAUGCAGGCAAAGACGGCUGCUCAUCCGGAGGCAGAGCCUUCUCCCGGGCAUCCUCGCAGUGGGGUGGUACCCAACCCAGACUUCUCAUCCCGGGGGUAGUGAGAAACCCUCUGCCUGGUGCUGUUCCUGCUGCUGGGCUGGUUUUUUAGCUGGCAAGUCAAAAAGGAGAGGCAAGAGACCCUUCCUGGAAGCUGGAGAAGGUGAAGAUGCUCCCAGAGGUUGGAAGCACCACUGCUCUCUAAACAUUUAGGACCUCAGGGAUGCCGAUGGGUCCUGGUAGAGCUGGGUGUGGGACCAUCAUACCUCACUAGCGCUUGCCUCUCUAGGCACUUGGUGGCCCCUCUGACUGUUUGUAGACAUGUUCAGUGGUGCAGAGGCUUCGGCUUCAGGAAAAGGGCAUUCCCGCUCCUCUGUCAGCACCGGGCUUGGUUGUGCAGCCGGGUGAAAGUAAAGCAGCAUUUCCUCAUCACCCAAGGGCUUUGCUGGGCUUGGAUGGGGGGAUGGAUGGGAGGAGCUGGGAUUCCGCUAACCUGAUUAACCAGGUUGGAAACCAACCUUGGAAAAAUCCAAGCCAUCUCACUUCAACCUCCUCCUGCCCUCUCAGGGCGCGGCUGGUCCUGAGUGGGAACUCCCCACCCAGCCUCGCGCCCCCGCUCCCCUCCGGCAUCCGAGAGCAGCCAGGUGUGGUGGGGAGGUGGGAUGCAACGGCGGGCAUCGUGCCUCCAGCUCCAGGAUGGGUGCCAGCAGCGAGGACCAGCGGCAGGGCUGGAGAGCUGAGUCCCACUAAGAGGAUGAAAACAUGGGGCUCAAGUUAUCCUGCCUGAAAGGCUUGAAGACGUGCGUGAGCAGCGAGAACAGCACCGACACCACCUCAGCAGUGUCCCAGGGCCAGAAGCACCUACACGUGCCUUCCAUCAUCGUCACACCUCCCACACCCACAGGGACCAUGCUGGCCCGCGAGGCUCGGCGGGCGGGGGGACCACCGUGCAGCCCGUGCUGACCACAGCCAGGGUGGACAGUGGUCCAGCGGGAACCAUCCCUGCUCCACCAACAUGGAACCAGAACCCACCAGGAUGCCAACUGGCUGGAUCCAGCACCCCAAAGACACACAGGGUAUCCACCACAAGGGUGGGUUUGGACAUUGGUGACUGGAUUUUCCCUCUUUUGUUAAAAAACGCAAAGGAGGGGGUGGCACUGCACAAGUCCUUCACGGUAAAUAAAGCCCCUGGGGC